GCAUGCGCAACUGUGGCGCGCGACUGCGCUAGAACGCGGCUCCCGCGACCCCUGGCGGCGGCUGCCGAGGGGCUGCGGGACGACCUUGGGCGGCAGCUAGCAGCGAGUCCUAGCUGAUGUGGCCCUGAGUCAGCUUUUAGAGGUCCCAAGACUCGUUCACAGGCCGCUAAACGCAAACUAAGGCACCUCCCAGCACACCAGGAUCGACGUGUCCUCCUUCAGUCCGGACUCGGCGGAAUCUGCACCUGGGAGCCCCUCCCCAAAUGACCUGCUAGCCGCAGUCCAGGAAGCAGGCACCCCUCACUCCCCUUCUCAAAUGGGGGCUCUAUUCCUGUCUCUAGCUCUGGAGUUGUUGUGAGGAUAAAGGGAGGUAAGGGACAAGUGCUUAGAACAGUGUCUAGAAGGAAUUAUUUUAAUGCUGUAGUCAUUAUUAAUAAUGUAUUAUAUUUUUACAAUUCCAGAACCUGGCACACAGUAGGCACUCAACAAACCGUUCCUCUGUCUGUCUUGAGAGACUGCGGUGGGCCCUGCAGGGCAGCUGCCUGCCUCUGCCUGGUUCGAGGAAGGCCCAGCCAGGCCGGCCCCAGCUUCCUUCCUGCUCUUCUGUCCCACUCCGACCCACUCCGGAGAGCCACGCUCUGAGCCGCACAUGACUCUCUCCUUCUCCACAGAACAAUCUGUGUUCUGCUCCCGCCCCCGAGAGAGUUCUGAGCUUUCCAAAUAUGGAUGCUUUUUGCAUUCCCAAAGCAUCACGAACAUUUGGGAGAAGAAAAUGAACACCAGACAUGGUUUGGAAACGAUGGAAGCCAAGGGAUGGGUGGUGACGGAACAAGCACCGUACUAGGAGUUUUAAAAUAUAAAACACGAGUCUGGCCUAGGUGAUGUCUUACAACCUUACUAGCUUUGUAGCAGUCUAGGCCCCAAAGAGAUCCUAGAAGUAAGCACCCAAACCCUAAGAAUAAAAACUACAGCGGCCACCACCACACAUUGCAGAGGCGAAAACUGCAUUAAGGAGGCCCAGAGAGUCACCUGCUGUCAGAGGAAAUGAGCAGUGGGAGGCAGUCCCUUGAGAGCCAAACAGCUUGAAAGUUGACAAAUUGAGAUGAACCAGCUCGUCGGUGAGUGUAGGCAGAAGAGGCAUUAGACACAAGAGUAUUUGUUUUUAUAUCAGGCCCAAACCAAAACCUAUUCUGAAAUGGAGUGGAUCUCAGAAUAUACUGAGAAGUUUGCCCUUUUGCUUAGGCACCUUGUGUGUUAUUCAGCUAGAGUUUAUCUUCAAUAGUGUGCCCCUGGAUGCCAGGGCAAAAUGUUAAAGAAUGGCCCCGUCACAGGCACCCCUGUGCAGCAGGCACUGUUGUCCCUGGCGCACAUGCAGGGAGAUAAAGCAGGCAGCUUAGAUAUGACACAGCCUCAACACCCAACCCAGAAUAAGCACUCACAUAUUUGCUGAUUUAAUGAAUUAAUUAAUUAUACAGUCUAGUUUGAGAGAGGCAAAUGGCAGAUGUGAAAUAAUUAAAAUCUGAAUGCCAAAUUAGAUGGUACUAGCUAUAAAUAGAGGUGGAAUCAGAGGAUGGAGAGAUUGGUGUGGACAAACGGGGCUGGAGAGGUCUGUAUGCAACAACGGGUGUCACCAAGGGCGGACUCAGCACAGGGAAGAGAUGACUCCCAGAUGGAUGGAGAAGAUAAACAGAGGUGGGGGGUUGGCCUGGCAGGGGUGAGGGCAGGUGGGCAAGGAGGCAGGCAGCCUGGAGCAGAGGAUGGGUGGGACACAGCAGGACAUGCAGCCAGCCUGCCAAGACUAGGACAUAUCCUCCACAGUCUGCAGAGGUGCAUGCCAUACCUAGACCUGCCAGGGUUAGCAGGAGGACUUGAACUCGAGAUUCAAGCAAUAAGGGAGAGGAUGACUCUUUUUUCGAGAUAAUUAGCUCCUGAUUAUCUCAACAUGAUACAUUUAAACCUCACACUGGCUUGUCCUGACACUCAGGCCACUAUUUACACUCUUCACCACAUUUUAACAUCACCUUAACUGAGAAUGUAAAUCCGGCACAAAUGUCCAAAUGCUCAUGUAUUUCAGGCAUUGUAAACCCCAGGGGAAAGCUCUGUGUCAUCGGCAUCCCUCCACCCCUUCACUAGCCCAGAGCCCUGGGGGGCAUUGUGCUUAUAGGUGGAGCUGUCUUGUUACUUGCUGGGGCCUUGCAGGGCCCAGCCUCUAGCCAUGCCCUCCAAAUGAGCUUCAGCCACUCCUGGGUUUUAACCAAGUCCUGCACCUAUACGCAGACCUAUUCCUGAAUCCUGACCAACAAGCCAAUAGCCUGGAAACCUAUAUGCUGAGCACUAGCCAAGAAUUCCAAUGUUUCCC
rnacentral:lncRNA from 1 species